AUAUCAAUAAGCGGAGGAAAAGAAACCAACAGGGAUUGCCUUAGUAGCGGCGAGUGAAGCGGCAAAAGCUCAAAUUUGAAAUCUGGCACCUUCGGUGUCCGAGUUGUAAUUUGAAGAUUGUAACCUUGGGGUUGGCUCUUGUCUAUGUUUCUUGGAACAGGACGUCACAGAGGGUGAGAAUCCCGUGCGAUGAGAUGCCCAAUCCUAUGUAAGGUGCUUUCGAAGAGUCGAGUUGUUUGGGAAUGCAGCUCUAAGUGGGUGGUAAAUUCCAUCUAAAGCUAAAUAUUGGCGAGAGACCGAUAGCGAACAAGUACAGUGAUGGAAAGAUGAAAAGAACUUUGAAAAGAGAGUGAAAAAGUACGUGAAAUUGUUGAAAGGGAAGGGUUUGAGAUCAGACUCGAUAUUUUGCGAUCCUUACCUUCGUGGUGGGGUGACCCGCAGCUUAUCGGGCCAGCAUCGGUUUGGGCGGUAGGAUAAUGGCGUAGGAAUGUGACUUUACUACGGUGAAGUGUUAUAGCCUGCGUUGAUGCUGCCUGCCUAGACCGAGGACUGCGAUUUUAUCAAGGAUGCUGGCAUAAUG
rnacentral:rRNA from 1 species